rnacentral:sRNA from 1 species
AUCUAUGUCAAUCACAUUUAAUUAAUUGAAAAUUCAAUCUUUUCUUGACGCAACUUUUCCUUUUGAUGUAUAGUAUACGUAUCGUGUACUAAUGGGUGAUUUCGGCUCAUAGGAUCAUGAUAAAAAAAAGGGCUUGGGCACGGUGCUGUGCUUUUUAGUAUUAGGAGGAUGUUGCAUGCAGAAUGGCAAAGUAAAGUGGUUCAACAACGAAAAAGGGUAUGGUUUUCUUGAAGUUGAUGGCGGAGAAGAUGUUUUUGUGCACUUUACAGCUGUCCAAGGGGACGGCUACAAGUCACUAGAAGAAGGUCAGGAAGUAUCAUUCGACAUAGUAGAAGGCAACCGAGGUCCUCAAGCAGCUAAUGUGGUUAAGCUAUAAUAACAUUAUAUAAUUUAUAAAGCUGACGUAAAAACGUCAGCCUUUUUU